rnacentral:pre_miRNA from 1 species
GAGAAUCUGUGGAUUUUCGGCAGAAUUUCUGUCCGAAAAUCUACAGAUUUUCUACGUAGAAAUUCUGCCGAAAAUCUACAGAUUUUCUCU